rnacentral:rRNA from 1 species
UACGGGACGGGCUACCGUUGUGCGGAAUUACUGGGCGUAAAGAGCGCGUAGGCGGCUUACCAAGUUGGGGGUGAAAUCCCGGAGCUCAACUCCGGAACUGCCUUCAAAACUGGUAGGCUCGAGUCCGGAAGAGGGGCGUGGAAUUCCCAGUGUAGAGGUGAAAUUCGUAGAUAUUGGGAAGAACACCGGUGGCGAAGGCGGCGCCCUGGUCCGGUACUGACGCUGAGGCGCGAAAGCGUGGGGAGCAAACAGG